UACGUAGGGUGCGAGCGUUAAUCGGAACUACUGGGCGUAAAGCGUGCGCAGGCGGUUUUGUAAGCCAGAUGUGAAAUCCCCGGGCUUAACCUGGGAAUGGCAUUUGGGACUGCAAGGCUGGAGUUUGGCAGAGGAGACUGGAAUUCCUGGUGUAGCAGUGAAAUGCGUAGAUAUCAGGAGGAACACCGAUGGCGAAGGCAGGUCUCUGGGCUGACACUGACGCUGAGGCGCGAAAGCUAGGGGAGCGAACGGG
rnacentral:rRNA from 1 species